UACAGAGGUCUCAAGCGUUGUUCGGAUUCAUUGGGCGUAAAGGGUGUGUAGGUGGCGCGCUAAGUCGGGUGUGAAAUUUCGGAGCUUAACUCCGAAACUGCAUUCGAUACUGGCGUGCUUGAGGACUGGAGAGGAGACUGGAAUUCACGGUGUAGCAGUGAAAUGCGUAGAUAUCGUGAGGAAGGCCAGUGGCGAAGGCGGGUCUCUGGACAGUUCCUGACACUGAGGCACGAAGGCCAGGGGAGCAAACGGG
rnacentral:rRNA from 1 species